AUGGAACUGACUGUUGCUCUUUGCUUGUUGGUUUCGGUCUCUACUUUUUCUGUGUAAAUCAUGAAUAAGAUGACAUUUUCUUAUUGGAUCAUAAAUUUUCAUUCCAAUUAGCCGAUCAGCAUUGUUGGCUGGUCAUGCUUAGUAUUAGUCUUCUUCUAAUACUUUUAGAUGUUUCUAAAAAUUAUUUUUCCAAUUUAAGUAAGCCCAAAACCU
rnacentral:lncRNA from 1 species